rnacentral:rRNA from 1 species
UGCAGUCGACGAACUCUGGUAUUGAUUGGUGCUUGCAUCAUGAUUUACAUUUGAGUGAGUGGCGAACUGGUGAGUAACACGUGGGAAACCUGCCCAGAAGCGGGGGAUAACACCUGGAAACAGAUGCUAAUACCGCAUAACAACUUGGACCGCAUGGUCCGAGCUUGAAAGAUGGCUUCGGCUAUCACUUUUGGAUGGUCCCGCGGCGUAUUAGCUAGAUGGUGGGGUAACGGCUCACCAUGGCAAUGAUACGUAGCCGACCUGAGAGGGUAAUCGGCCACAUUGG